rnacentral:piRNA from 1 species
ACCCAUGUGCUCUCUUGAGUAGACUGGUCUC